rnacentral:rRNA from 1 species
UAAUGUUUGAUGUUCUAACGUGGACCCGUAAUCCGGGUUGCGGACAGUGUCUGGUGGGUAGUUUGACUGGGGCGGUCUCCUCCUAAAGAGUAACGGAGGAGCACGAAGGUUGGCUAAUCCUGGUCGGACAUCAGGAGGUUAGUGCAAUGGCAUAAGCCAGCUUGACUGCGAGCGUGACGGCGCGAGCAGGUGCGAAAGCAGGUCAUAGUGAUCCGGUGGUUCUGAAUGGAAGGGCCAUCGCUCAACGGAUAAAAGGUACUCCGGGGAUAACAGGCUGAUACCGCCCAAGAGUUCAUAUCGACGGCGGUGUUUGGCACCUCGAUGUCGGCUCAUCACAUCCUGGGGCUGAAGUAGGUCCCAAGGGUAUGGCUGUUCGCCAUUUAAAGUGGUACGCGAGCUGGGUUUAGAACGUCGUGAGACAGUUCGGUCCCUAUCUGCCGUGGGCGCUGGAGAACUGAGGGGGGCUGCUCCUAGUACGAGAGGACCGGAGUGGACGCAUCACUGGUGUUCGGGUUGUCAUGCCAAUGGCACUGCCCGGUAGCUAAAUGCGGAAGAGAUAAGUGCUGAAAGCAUCUAAGCACGAAACUUGCCCCGAGAUGA